AGAGUUUGAUCCUGGCUCAGGACGAACGCUGGCGGCGUGCCUAACACAUGCAAGUCGAACGGAGAAUUUUAUUUCGGUAGAAUUCUUAGUGGCGAACGGGUGAGUAACGCGUAGGCAACCUGCCCUUUAGACGGGGACAACAUUCCGAAAGGAGUGCUAAUACCGGAUGUGAUCAUCGUGCCGCAUGGCAGGAUGAAGAAAGAUGGCCUCUACAAGUAAGCUAUCGCUAAAGGAUGGGCCUGCGUCUGAUUAGCUAGUUGGUAGUGUAACGGACUACCAAGGCGAUGAUCAGUAGCCGGUCUGAGAGGAUGAACGGCCACAUUGGGACUGAGACACGGCCCAAACUCCUACGGGAGGCAGCAGUGGGGAAUCUUCCGCAAUGGACGAAAGUCUGACGGAGCAACGCCGCGUGAGUGAUGAAGGAUUUCGGUCUGUAAAGCUCUGUUGUUUAUGACGAACGUGCAGUGUGUGAACAAUGCAUUGCAAUGACGGUAGUAAACGAGGAAGCCACGGCUAACUACGUGCCAGCAGCCGCGGUAAUACGUAGGUGGCGAGCGUUGUCCGGAAUUAUUGGGCGUAAAGAGCAUGUAGGCGGCUUAAUAAGUCGAGCGUGAAAAUGCGGGGCUCAACCCCGUAUGGCGCUGGAAACUGUUAGGCUUGAGUGCAGGAGAGGAAAGGGGAAUUCCCAGUGUAGCGGUGAAAUGCGUAGAUAUUGGGAGGAACACCAGUGGCGAAGGCGCCUUUCUGGACUGUGUCUGACGCUGAGAUGCGAAAGCCAGGGUAGCGAACGGGAUUAGAUACCCCGGUAGUCCUGGCCGUAAACGAUGGGUACUAGGUGUAGGAGGUAUCGACCCCUUCUGUGCCGGAGUUAACGCAAUAAGUACCCCGCCUGGGGAGUACGGCCGCAAGGUUGAAACUCAAAGGAAUUGACGGGGGCCCGCACAAGCAGUGGAGUAUGUGGUUUAAUUCGACGCAACGCGAAGAACCUUACCAAGUCUUGACAUCCCUUGACGAUGCUGGAAACAGUAUUUCUCUUCGGAGCAAGGAGACAGGUGGUGCAUGGUUGUCGUCAGCUCGUGUCGUGAGAUGUUGGGUUAA
rnacentral:rRNA from 1 species